rnacentral:rRNA from 1 species
GGUGGUGCAUGGUUGUCGUCAGCUCGUGUCGUGAGAUGUUGGGUUAAGUCCCGCAACGAGCGCAACCCUUAUUCUUAGUUACCAUCAUUUAGUUGGGCACUCUAAGGAGACUGCCGGUGACAAACCGGAGGAAGGUGGGGAUGACGUCAAAUCAUCAUGCCCCUUAUGACCUGGGCUACACACGUGCUACAAUGGACGAUACAAAGAGUCGCAAACUCGCGAGGGUAAGCUAAUCUCAUAAAAUCGUUCUCAGUUCGGAUUGUAGGCUGCAACUCGCCUGCAUGAAGCCGGAAUCGCUAGUAAUCGCGGAUCAGCAUGCCGCGGUGAAUACGUUCCCGGGUCUUGUACACAC